rnacentral:lncRNA from 1 species
GGGGAAGUCACUUCCCUGGCCCAAGGGCCUGCAGCCAGUAGGUGGGCUGCUGGGAUGUUACCCCGGGGCCGGUCUGCCUCCAGAUGUUAAGCUUUUAGCCCCUUGAUCGCAGGAACUCCUGAAAACCCCACUUUGGGGGGCUAACGAACCACUGUGGAUCUCCGCUCGCACAGAGCAAAGGUUCCAACGGCCAAGGGUGAUCAAAAACCAAAGAUUCUUCUCCAGUGGUAACAAACUCACUUCCCAGCUGAGCUUUCAACCCAGGCUGCAGCCCCCACUUGACCUGGGCCAGGUGCCCCCCCCCCCCCCGCAGCUACAAUGACCCAGGUCCCGGGGAAAGAUGCCCACCCACAGGGGUCACCAAUGCCACCCAAGAGCCCGGCAGAUUCCCUCAGCUGCAGCUCCCAGGGCCCCCCGCCGAUUCACCCCACCAUCGGGCGUUGUUGGUUAAAGUGAAGAUUCUAGCCUCAUGACUCUCAUGAUUUGAACGUAGUGAUGAGUAAACGCGGUAUUUUUUUGACGUGGCUCCGACCGGCGAAAUGUGAUAUAAACCAUCUGCGAUCUCCCCUGAUGCCACAGUCUUAACCCCCGCUACACUCAUGUCUGUGCUAUGUCGCCCGUAGCGGACAGAAACGCCACACUGCAGUUAGCGGUAAAUGAGAGUAAAGAUGUGUUUUCCGAUCCAAGUUCAAGGGGUCAGUGGACCCGGUCGCCAGGGUCUCCAGGUCGACCAAACCUCAACGAAUCGCCCCACUUCUGCCCCAUCCUUCUUCCUCCAGACGAAACCUCGAUUCCACAUCCCAGCCUGAAAGUUGAAGAAACCUGGGCGCCCUGCAAGGUUUCUCCCUGGCCACGCCCGGGAUCAUCACAGACGCGUCUCUGUCCAAGGCUGCGGUUGCUAGUCCCCUCCUCCCUGAAGCCUCCUGUCCCCUCGGGCUGCAUCAGGUGCCUCCUCUGUCCCUCCCCAGGCUCCACCCCCCCGCCACGUGUCACUUCCAAGAUGAGAGCUGGUCACGAUGGAGGAAAGCUGUCCGGUGUCUCUCUUCCCCGCACCGCGCCCAGCACGGAGGACGCGUGCUGUCCACGGAGGGAGGAGGGGUGUGCGCCCUCAGCCUCCUUCAGACUCAGCUUCUAGAUGAAUAGCAGGUGGCCGGCCAGGUGCCAGCGGGUUGGCCAGAGCCCAGGCGGGGCGGCCGUGGGUCAGAGUCAGAUUGUCACGCCAGAGAGGACGACAGCCGGUGGCGGCCACUUCCUCGUCUGCAGCUGGGCCGCCCCGCCUCCCCGACCAGGUGGAGACCUCCAGAUAUCCUGGGAACCACCAAGGGCACCGGGCAAGCCAGGAAAACUAAUCCCGCUGAGGAGACCCAAGCCAGCCCUCUCCAUGCUUGUCUUCCUCUGUGGGACCCUUGCCUCUACCAAGUUCAGCCAUCAUCCGUUGUUCGCCCCCCGACGUACGUGAUGAAGUUCACAGCAGUAAGUACCCGCCAACACUGUUGGUUGCCCACCCAGCAGUCACUUCCCCCUUCUUCCUUGCUCCCCAAACCAUCCAGCCAGUCCCAGGGGAUGCGUCUUGAUUGGUCUAAGCCAGUGCCCUCUUGCCAGUGAUUGGUCUAGAGGUGGGCAUGUGACCCAGGCUUGGCCAAUUAAACAGCAAGGGAAGUCUGCUAAGGGACUCUGGGAAGACUGUCUUCCUCUUAUUAAGAGAGAGACGGGCCGGGAAAAGAGUUUUUUAAUCUUCUUUCUCCCCUCCUGCUCUGGACACUGUUGUCUGAGGUUGUGAUUUCUGGAGCUACGGUGCCCAGAUGUUUGGAUCCCCCAGUCUAGAUGUGGCUGUGAAGGCGUUUUUAGAUGUGAUUAGCAUUGACAUAAGUAGACUGAUUAAGCAGAUUGCCCUCCGUAAUGAGGGUGGGCCUGAUCCAAUCAGCUGAAGGUGGGGGGGGGGAGAGGGGGGGAAGGCAAAUAUGGUAAAAAUGUUAACAUGUGAAGAAUCUGGGUGAAGGGUGUACAAGAAUGUAUUGCAUCCUUCACAAUUUCUCUGUAUGCCCCAAAUGAAUUUAAAAUAAAAAGUUAACCCCCCCCCGAAAAGGCGGGGGG